rnacentral:rRNA from 1 species
GAUGAACGCUGGCGGCGUGCCUAACACAUGCAAGUCGAGCGAACAGACGAGGAGCUUGUUCCCUUGACGUUAGCGGCGGACGGGUGAGUAACACGUGGAUCACCUACUUAUAUGUCUGGGAUAACUACGGGAAACCGGUGCCAAUACUGGAUAAUAUAUUGAACCGCAUGGUUCAAUAGUGAAUGACGGCUUUGCUGUCUCUAUUAGAUGGAUCCGCGCCGGAUUAGCUAGUUGGUAAGGUCACGGCUUACCAAGGCAACGAUGCGUAGCCGACCUGAGAGGGUGAUCGGCCACACUGGAACUGGAACACGGUCCAAGCUCCUACGGGAAGCAGCAGUAGGGAAUCUUCCGCAAUGGGGGGAAGCUUGGCGGAGCAACGCCGCGUGAGUGGAGAAGGUCUUCCGAGCGGAAAACUCUGUUAUUAGGGAAAAACAAAUGUGUAAGUAACUAUGCACGUCUUGACGGUACCUAAUCAGAAAGCCACGGCUAACUACGUG